AGCUGUUGGCUGCCCUGCUGGGCAGUGAAAGCCUGCAGCGUCCCCAGGGCCCCAGGCAAGAGGCAGCACAAGUCCGGUUUGUGCCCCAGCACUGUCCACACCUCAGCCAGGACAGAGGGUGAGGCGCCAGGUAGCCAGGCACCGGCAGGUGCAGCGCUGAGAAUCCCCUGGGGACCUGCGCUGGGCAGCCCUGGCCUGGGGGUGCACCCUGCCCCCCCCCAACACACACACCGCAGCAGAAACCUCCCUGGCUGCCUCUCCAUCACCUGCUGGCCGCCCCGCCCCCCCUUGUCCCCCCGGCAGCCAGCCUGCUCCUAUCUGCAGGUGGGCCAUGCAGAUGGGGGCCUGGGCUGGGAGGUGCUCGGUCUCACUGCCCAAGGUCAGCCAGCCAGCUCCGGGCCCCACGGCCUGGCCCCGCCUCCACCGCCCACCCUGGGGAGGCUGCAGGGGGGGCACAGGUGGCUUUGCUGGGGGUCUCGCCCUGCGUCCUUCACCAAAGUGCCGGUUCCAGGCAGGGCCAUGGGGCUCGGGGUGUGGACCCUACCUGUGUCACUCCACACAGAGUGGGGGGAGCCUGGGGCUGGUGGGGACGGCACCGUCCCUGGACUGUGGGGCAAGGGGCAGGGCCCGGACAGGGGCCCAGGCCUUACUUCUGCCCCCACUUGUCCCAGCGUCUCCCAGCGCCCGUGGCUGUCUGGGGCUCUGUCACCAGCGAGCGGGGGCCCCCACCCUGGAGACCCUGGCUUUGCGGGGGUCGUAGGACCAACCACAGCGCAUGCGCUCAGUCACCAGCAUCAGCCAGCACCCAGCACGGGUCCCGGCUGUUGAGGGCUCGGGGUGCGGGGGUGACCUGGGGCCACAGGCUCCUGCUGGAGCUGCAGGUGGAACCGACCCAGGAAGCAGGGACCCCAGGCCUUGUUUCAGCCCGUGAUGGACCCCAGCCCACGGACUGUGCAUGUGCACGUGUGUGUGUGCAUGUACAGCUGCGUGUGCAUGUGUGGGUUGUGCAAGAACACGUGUGUGUACAACUGUGUGUGUGCACGUGUGGAUGCAGG
rnacentral:lncRNA from 1 species